rnacentral:lncRNA from 1 species
CCAGUUGAGAAUCAGGACUUAUCUCUCUGAUUUUGUCCUCUUAGAAUUGCCAAAGUGGAAGAGACCCUACGGAUCAUGGAGUCCAGCCCCUGUCAAGGAGACAGAGUGAGGAGGUGAACACCGAAUCUCUGGGUCUGCAACCCGAGACCUAAACCAUUGAGCUAUCCAUCUGCUCUCUGGAGAAAUGGCAUCACCAAGAUGCAAUGAAGAAGAAACAAUAACAAGAGAAUACCGAUCAGCAUCUUUCUCCUGUCAAGUCUGAAAUUCUGUAUGGGGAUCUUGUCUUCUUAUCUUUGGGCUGUUCUUGUCAGAACACGCAGCCUCGUGAUUGUUCCUGAACCCAACAUAAUACUGUCGACAUUGUUACUGGGAAUCCAUGAAGGCCUGGGCCAUGCUCCUGUGUGUAUCUAAAGCAAUAUCUUGGUCUUGAUGUCAAGUAAUCAGACGGCGAUUAGCCAAAUGGAAGGCCACCUGGAUGGUUACAGCUUUUUAUUGGCAUCCCAAGUUUCUAUAAUCUUUCAUUUCAAUUAAUGGUUCUAUAGCAGCACACUCUGCUGUUAUUUGGGAUGGAAGGCUUAUGUCUCAGUCACCACCUUCAGAAAGUCUCUUGUAAACUAAUUAUCGCUAACAUACCUGUGUAGUAGGCAACUGACAUUCACCUACUCUGUAAAUGAGCAGUUGAUUGUGAAAAAUUAAUUGGGAACUUUUAUUUUUAAAAAUGCAGAAAAUAAGAAUUUAAUAAUUAUGCUGGCUUGAAUUAAAGCAUCACAAAUGAUGCAUCUAAUUGAAAGUGAUUAAUGCUGACAAUGAAGUCUUGCUAUCUUCAUGUUUUUACCAUCAUGCAUAGUGGAUGACUCUGGGAUACAUAUGUGGGGAAAUGUUUCACGCUGCCCUUUAUGGGUUUGACACCUUGAACUGAGUGC